rnacentral:rRNA from 1 species
GAUGAACGCUGGCGGCGUGCCUAAUACAUGCAAGUCGAGCGAAUGGAUUGAGAGCUUGCUCUUAUGAAGUUAGCGGCGGACGGGUGAGUAACACGUGGGUAACCUGCCCACAAGACUGGGAUAACUCCGGGAAACCGGGGCUAAUACCGGAUAACAUUUUGAACCGCAUGGUUCGAAAUUGAAAGGCGGCUUCGGCUGUCACUUAUGGAUGGACCCGCGUCGCAUUAGCUAGUUGGUGAGGUAACGGCUCACCAAGGCAACGAUGCGUAGCCGACCUGAGAGGGUGAUCGGCCACACUGGGACUGAGACACGGCCCAGACUCCUACGGGAGGCAGCAGUAGGGAAUCUUCCGCAAUGGACGAAAGUCUGACGGAGCAACGCCGCGUGAGUGAUGAAUGCUUUCGGGUCGUAAAACUCUGUUGUUAGGGAAGAACAAGUGCUAGUUGAAUAAGCUGGCACCUUGACGGUACCUAACCAGAAAGCCACGGCUAACUACGUGCCAGCCGCCGCAGUAA